rnacentral:rRNA from 1 species
AGUGAACGCUGGCGGUAGGCCUAACACAUGCAAGUCGAACGGCAGCACAGUAAGAGCUUGCUCUUACGGGUGGCGAGUGGCGGACGGGUGAGGAAUACAUCGGAAUCUACUUUUUCGUGGGGGAUAACGUAGGGAAACUUACGCUAAUACCGCAUACGACCUACGGGUGAAAGCAGGGGAUCUUCGGACCUUGCGCGAUUGAAUGAGCCGAUGUCGGAUUCGCUAGUUGGCGGGGUAAAGGCCCACCAAGGCGACGAUCCGUAGCGGGUCUGAGAGGAUGAUCAGCCACACUGUAAGUGAGACAGGUUAGCGACUCCUACGGGAGGAAGCAGUGGGGAAUAUUACACAAUGGACGCAAGCCUGAUCCAGCAAUACCGCGUGGGUGAAGAUGGCCUUCGGGUUGUAAAGCCCUGUUGUUGGGAAAGAAAAGCAGCAGUUUAAUACCCCGUUGUUAUGACGGUACCCAAAGAAUAAGCUCCGGCUAACUUCGUG